rnacentral:rRNA from 1 species
UCAAGUAAUUAAGUGCAUGUGGUGGAUGCCUUGGCAGUCAGAGGCGAUGAAAGACGUGAUAGCCUGCGAAAAGCUCCGGGAGGCGGCAAAUAUCCUUUGAUCCGGAGAUGUCUGAAUGGGGGAACCCACCUACUUUAAGGUAGGUAUUGCAACAUGAAUACAUAGUGUUGCAAGGCGAACGAGGGGAAGUGAAACAUCUCAGUACCCUUAGGAAAAGAAAUCAAUUGAGAUUCCCUCAGUAGCGGCGAGCGAACGGGGAUCAGCCCAUUAAGUUAUGUGUGUUUUAGUGGAACGCUCUGGGAAGUGCGAACGUAGAGGGUGAUAUUCCCGUACACGAAAGGGCACACAUAAUGAUGACGAGUAGGGCGAGGCACGUGAAACCUUGUCUGAAUAUGGGGACCAUCCUCCAAGGCUAAAUACUCCUGACUGACCGAUAGUGAACCAGUACCGUGAGGGAAAGGCGAAAAGAACCCCUGUGAGGGGAGUGAAAUAGAUCCUGAAACCGCAUGCAUACAAGCAGUGGGAGCACCUUCGUGGUGUGACUGCGUACCUUUGUAUAAUGGGUCAGCGACUUAUAUUCAGUAGCGAGGUUAACCGUAUAGGGGAGCCGUAGAGAAAUCGAGUCUUAAUAGGGCGUUUAGUUGCUGGGUAUAGACCCGAAACCAGGCGAUCUAUCCAUGAGCAGGUUGAAGGUUGGGUAACACUAACUGGAGGACCGAACCCACUGUCGUUGAAAAGCCAGGGGAUGACUUGUGGAUAGGGGUGAAAGGCUAAUCAAGCCUGGUGAUAGCUGGUUCUCCCCGAAAGCUAUUUAGGUAGCGCCUCGGACGAAUACCAUAGGGGGUAGAGCACUGUUUCGGCUAGGGGGUCAUCCCGACUUACCAAACCGAUGCAAACUCCGAAUACCUAUGAGUACUAUCCGGGAGACAGACUGCGGGUGCUAACGUCCGUAGUCAAGAGGAAAACAAUCCAGACCGCCAGCUAAGGCCCCAAAAUCAUAGUUAAGUGGGAAACGAUGUGGGAAGGCAUAGACAGCUAGGAGGUUGGCUUAGAAGCAGCCACCCUUUAAAGAAAGCGUAAUAGCUCACUAGUCGAGUCGGCCUGCGCGGAAGAUGUAACGGGCUAAAACUAUGUGCCGAAGCUGCGGAUGUAUACUUUGUAUACGUGGUAGGGGAGCGUUCUGUAAGCCGAUGAAGGUGUGUUGAGAAGCAUGCUGGAGGUAUCAGAAGUGCGAAUGCUGACGUGAGUAACGACAAAACGGGUGAAAAAACCCGUUCGCCGAAAGACCAAGGGUUCCAGUCCAACGUUAAUCGGGGCUGGGUGAGUCGACCCCUAAGGCGAGGCCGAAAGGCGUAGUCGAUGGGAAAAUGGUUAAUAUUCCAUUACUUCUGUGUAAUGCGAUGAGAGGACGGAGAAGGCUAAAUCAGCCUGGCGUUGGUUGUCCAGGUGAAAGGAUGUAGGCAUGUAUCUUAGGCAAAUCCGGGGUACUCUAUGCUGAGAUCUGAUAGCAAGCUGUACUUGUACAGCGAAGUGGUUGAUGCCAUGCUUCCAGGAAAAGUCUCUAAGCUUCAGUUACACAGGAAUCGUACCCGAAACCGACACAGGUGGUCAGGUCGAGUAGACCAAGGCGCUUGAGAGAACUCUGCUGAAGGAACUAGGCAAAAUGGUACCGUAACUUCGGGAGAAGGUACGCUGUUGUUGGUGAUGGAACUCGCUUCCUGAGCUGACGACAGCCGCAGAAACCAGGCCGCUGCAACUGUUUAUUAAAAAACAUAGCACUCUGCAAACACGAAAGUGGACGUAUAGGGUGUGAUGCCUGCCCGGUGCUGGAAGGUUAAUUGAUGGGGUUAGCGUAAGCGAAGCUCUUGAUCGAAGCCCCAGUAAACGGCGGCCGUAACUAUAACGGUCCUAAGGUAGCGAAAUUCCUUGUCGGGUAAGUUCCGACCUGCACGAAUGGCAUAAUGAUGGCGGCGCUGUCUCCAGCAGAGGCUCAGUGAAAUCGAAAUCGCUGUGAAGAUGCAGUGUACCCGCGGCUAGACGGAAAGACCCCGUGAACCUUUACUGCAGCUUGACACUGAACUUUGACCUUACUUGUGUAGGAUAGGUGGGAGGCUUUGAAGCUGGAACGCUAGUUCCAGUGGAGCCGUCCUUGAAAUACCACCCUGGUAAUGUUGAGGUUCUAACUCUGUCCCGUGAUCCGGGACGAGGACCGUGUCUGGUGGGUAGUUUGACUGGGGCGGUCUCCUAAAGAGUAACGGAGGAGUACGAAGGUGCGCUCAGCGUGGUCGGAAAUCACGCGUAGAGUAUAAAGGCAAAAGCGCGCUUAACUGCGAGACCCACAAGUCGAGCAGGUACGAAAGUAGGUCUUAGUGAUCCGGUGGUUCUGUAUGGAAGGGCCAUCGCUCAACGGAUAAAAGGUACUCUGGGGAUAACAGGCUGAUACCGCCCAAGAGUUCAUAUCGACGGCGGUGUUUGGCACCUCGAUGUCGGCUCAUCUCAUCCUGGGGCUGAAGCAGGUCCCAAGGGUAUGGCUGUUCGCCAUUUAAAGAGGUACGCGAGCUGGGUUUAGAACGUCGUGAGACAGUUCGGUCCCUAUCUACCGUGGGCGCUGGAAAUUUGAGAGGAUCUGCUCCUAGUACGAGAGGACCAGAGUGGACGAACCUCUGGUGUACCGGUUGUGACGCCAGUCGCAUCGCCGGGUAGCUAUGUUCGGAAGGGAUAACCGCUGAAAGCAUCUAAGCGGGAAGCCUACCUCAAGAUAAGAUUUCCUAGGACUUUAUGUCCUCUAAAGAGCCGUUCGAGACUAGGACGUUGAUAGGUUGGAUGUGGAAGCAUAGUGAUAUGUGAAGCUGACCAAUACUAAUUGCUCGUGAGGCUUGACUA